rnacentral:rRNA from 1 species
AAGAGAUGCGACCGGCGCACGGUGAGUAACACGUAUCCAACCUGCCGAUAACUCCGGAAUAGCCUUUCGAAAGAAAGAUUAAUACCGGAUGGCAUACGAAUAUCGCAUGAUAUUUUUAUUAAAGAAUUUCGGUUAUCGAUGGGGAUGCGUUCCAUUAGUUUGUUGGCGGGGUAACGGCCCACCAAGACUACGAUGGAUAGGGGUUCUGAGAGGAAGGUCCCCCACAUUGGAACUGAGACACGGUCCAA